UUAGUAGUGAUGCUAUGGGUGAUGGAAGUGGUGUAGCGAAAUAUUCGAGAUUACGAAAAGAAAUUUGAUGAGGCUGAAUGGGAGAUAAGGUUGCAGAACAAACCAAGACAGUAAAUCAAAAACCUGUGAAGAUAAAAAAGAUGUAUGCCUU
rfam:Coprobacillus sp. CAG:183 genomic scaffold, scf332